rnacentral:rRNA from 1 species
UACGAAGGGGGCUAGCGUUGUUCGGAAUCACUGGGCGUAAAGCGCACGUAGGCGGCUUGUUAAGUCAGAGGUGAAAGCCUGGAGCUCAACUCCAGAACUGCCUUUGAUACUGGCAAGCUCGAGUGUGGAAGAGGUUGGUGGAACUCCGAGUGUAGAGGUGAAAUUCGUAGAUAUUCGGAAGAACACCAGUGGCGAAGGCGGCCAACUGGUCCAUUACUGACGCUGAGGUGCGAAAGCGUGGGGAGCAAACAGG